rnacentral:ncRNA from 1 species
GUGUUAUAUGCAAGGAAAGAAGGUUAGCACUCCCCUUGACAAGGAUGGACGAGGCUCUUAGGCCUGACAACACGGAUACAGUUAAGACCUUGCCAACUACUUUGUGGCAUCUAACCACUGUUU